AUGGCCACCAAGGAAGUUGCUAGUGAAUAACCUAUUGAAUAGUGUUAUGAAGAAGUUGAAUUGUCGUUCGGUUGCGGGUCCCAUGUGGAAAUAUUUGAAGGUAAAGCCUUGAUAUAUUGAUUUAUUUAAUAAAAUUGCUUUGAGUUAUGGCUAUGCAUGACUAUUUUAACUUUGUGUCAUGUUAAUGUGCGCAACAAGACAACGACGCUGAUUGUGCCCUGUACGUGAUGAGGUUUAUGCAUGACAUAGUCAAUAGGUGCACUGAAGCCCAACACAUUGAGGAGGUUUGUAAGAUUCAAAGGGAAGGCCCUUUGACAAGGGAAGAAGUUGAUGAAAUUCGCGACAUGUGGGCUUUUUUGUGACAUUUGAUGGCAUCUAGGUAGAAUAUAUAAUAUAUAUGUGUUAGUUAGAUAAUGAAUGAGAUUGAGUUUUUUUUUUAUGAACAAUUAAUAUUUAGUUCCUAUCUUUUUUAUUUUUUUUAAAUAUAUAUGUACAUUAUAUUACUUA